rnacentral:rRNA from 1 species
CAGUAGGGAUCUUCCACAAUGGACGAAAGUCUGAUGGAGCAACGCCGCGUGAGUGAAGAAGGUUUUCGGAUCGUAAAACUCUGUUGUUGGAGAAGAAUGUAUCUGAUAGUAACUGAUCAGGUAGUGACGGUAUCCAACCAGAAAGCCACGGCUAACUACGUGCCAGCAGCCGCGGUAAUACGUAGGUGGCAAGCGUUGUCCGGAUUUAUUGGGCGUAAAGCGAGCGCAGGCGGUUUCUUAAGUCUGAUGUGAAAGCCUUCGGCUCAACCGAAGAAGUGCAUCGGAAACUGGGAAACUUGAGUGCAGAAGAGGACAGUGGAACUCCAUGUGUAGCGGUGAAAUGCGUAGAUAUAUGGAAGAACACCAGUGGCGAAGGCGGCUGUCUGGUCUGUAACUGACGCUGAGGCUCGAAAGCAUGGGUAGCAAACAGGAUUAGAUACCCUGGUAGUCCAUGCCGUAAACGAUGAGUGCUAGGUGUUGGAGGGUUUCCGCCCUUCAGUGCCGCAGCUAACGCAUUAAGCACUCCGCCUGGGGAGUACGACCGCAAGGUUGAAACUCAAAGGAAUUGACGGGCCCCCC